AUGAGCCCGCGGGCCGAGCUGGGAGGAAGGGCAUUUAAACACAGCGGAGAGAAGCACUUUCAAAGCAUGCCCGUACAAGAAAAUUCCAAUUCGGCAAGGCCAAAAACACACAAGGAAUCAGAGGGGUGUUUGGAGCCGGGCCCCUCCAAGGAGUCGCCUCCAUCUGCCUCUCGCCCUUUCACGUCUUCCUCGCCGGACGCGACCAGCCUCGCCUGCGCUUGUCCCUACAAGUCCUCUCACCGAUCCGCCUGCGGCUCCCCGAGGGCCACCAGGGCCGCCCUCGGUCCUUGGCGUCUCUGCCUCUCGGACACUGCCCGCAGCCCUUCCGCUUGGCCCGCUUUCCCCUUUGCCCCCCGCCCCCCACCGCCCCGAGCCUUCCCGCUGCGUCUCCCUCCUGGCUGCUGUCUGUCAGCCCACCCNNNNNNNNNNNNNNNNNNNNNNNNNNNNNNNNNNNNNNNNNNNNNNNNNNNNNNNNNNNNNNNNNNNNNNNNNNNNNNNNNNNNNNNNNNNNNNNNNNNNCCCGGCGGACUGGGGCUCCUCGGGUUCUCUUCUCGGCCCAUUUGCUCCGCGGGCCGCCCAGGCCCGUGGUCUUGGCUCGACGCCCCCAAGUCCCAGAUCCAGGUCUGGAGCCUGCGCCCGAGCCCCGGGCGGACCUGUCCAGCCGCCCACUGAGUAGCUCCACCUGCAGACCUCACGCCUCGACCGCCUGCUCGCAAGCCAGGCCCCCCCCCAAGCCCUCCUCCUCCUGUCGUCUCCGCGGUGCUGGCAGCAUCUGCUCGAUCGGCCGCGCCCCGGAGCCUGAGCAGAGCCCCUCCUCGUCACCCUCCAUGUCCGAAUGGACACUGGAAGUCAUUCUGUCUGUCUGCCAACUGUCUUUGGAAUCUGUCCUCCUUCCGGCAUCUCCACCGCCACUGCGCCGAUGACCCGCCCGAUCCGGACCGCUGCGCGUGGAAAUCUGAGUCUUUCCUCCUGGGACGAGCUCAGAGGGGUUCUAACCGCACCCCUGCCUCCAGUCUCCCCACCAGACCGCCUCUCACACCCAGGUGUCAGUGAUGUGACACAAAGUUCAUCGUGUCGCUGGCUACCUGAAAUCUUUCCAUCGUCUCCUCACUUUUCUUGGAUAAAAUCCAAAAUCCCUGGUAUGAUCUGCCCGUCCCUCCUUUGACACUUUUCUGCACGCACCUUUUUUUAAAUGAUUUUUUAAUGUUUAUUUAUUUAUUUAUUUAUUUAAUGUUUUAUUUAUUUUUUUGGGUACAGAGAGAGAUAGAGCAUGAGAGGGGGAGGGGCAGAGAGAGGGAGACACAGAAUCUGAAGCAGGCUCCAGGCUCUGAGUUUGCUGUCUGCACAGAGCCUGACGCGGGGCUCAAACCCACAAACGUGAGAUCUGACCUGAGCCGAAGCCGGCCGCUCAACCGACUGAGCCACCCAGGCGUCCCAAUGUUUAUUUAUUUUUUUGAGACAGAGAGAUAGUGUGAGCAGGGGAGAGUCAGAGACAGAGGGAGACACAGAAUCGGAAGCAGCUCCAGGCUCUGAGUGUCAGCACAGAGCCCGAUGCAGGGCUCGAACUCACGAACCGUGAGAUCUGACCUGAGCCGAAGUCGGCCACUUCACCAAAGGAGCCCCCAGUGCCCCUUCUGCAUGUACCUUGUGUUCUGGCAACACUUAGGGACUCUUUGUUCUCAACGGCCUCUUUCCUUUCCGUGUUUCUGUGGACGUUUUGUCACAGCAUCUUCCUGUCUCCAGAUCUAACAUCAUACCUACAAAGUAGAUGUUCAAUAAAGGCUUCUUGAGUAAAUUAAAGGACAGAAAGCUGAAGGUAAGGAUACCAAUGAGAAGACUACUAGGAACGUAACUCAGAAGGGGCCCCUGGGUGGCUCAGUCGGUGAAGCAUCUGACUCUUGAUUUCGGCUCAGGUCAUGAGCUCACAGUUCAUGAGUUCAAGUGCUGUCAGCACACAGUUUGCUUGGGAUUCUCUCUCUCCCUCACUCUGCCCCUCCUCUGCACUCCCUCUCUCUCUCUCUCUCUCUUUCUCAAAAUAAAUAAACUUUAAAAACCAGAGAUAACCAGGAAGAGAGGGAAAGGAAAUGCUGGAGUGUGACAUUUGCUUCAAGCGUCUACAAGGUGAGAUGGUAAGAACCAAAUAAUUCCUAUCAUUUUUCUAUCUUUGAGAGACAUGAACUGGGGCGCCUGGGGCUCAGUCGGUUACGCGUCUGAUUUCGGCUCAGGUCAUGAUCUCAUGUUCGUGGGUUCGAGCCCCGCGUCAGGCUCUGUGCUGACAGUUCAGAGCCCGGAGCCUGCUUCCGGUUCUGUGUCUCCCUCUCUCUCUGCCCCUCCUCGUCUCAUGCUCUGUCUCUCUCUGUAUCAAAAAUAAAUAAAACAUUAAAAAAAAAGAAAGAGAGGUGAACUUUGGUCAUCAGUGCAGUUUCAAAGGCCACGUUAAACCAAUUUUAGGGGCACCUGGCUGGCUCAGUUGGAAGAGCAUGAGACUCUUUUUUUUUUAAUUUUUUAAUGUUUUAUUUAUUUUUGAUACGGGGGAGGGUCAGAGAAAGAGGGAGGCACAGAAUCAGAAGCAGGCUCCAGGCUCCGAGCUGUCAGCACAGAGCCUGAUGCCGGGCUCGAACCCACGAACGUGAGAUCUGACCUGAGCUGAAGUCAGAGGCUUAACCAACUGAGCCACCCAGGCGCCCCGAGCAUGAGACUCUUGAUCUUGGGGUUGUGAGUCUGAACCACAUUGGGUGUAGAGAUUACUUAAAAAUAAAAUCUUAUGGGCACCUGGGUGGCUCAGUCGGUUGAACGUCCAACUCUUGAUUUGGGUUCAGGUUGUGAUCUCAUGGUUCGUGGAUUCGGGCCUCAUGUCCGGCUCUGCACUGACAGGGGGGAGCCUGCUUGGGAUUCUCUUCCUCUCCCUCUUUCUGCCCCUCCCCUGCCCUUUCUCUCGCAAAAUAAAUAAAUAAAAAAUUUAUUUAGAGAAUGAACUGGGAAGCGGCAGAGGGAGAAGAAGAGAGAAUCCCAGAGCAGGCUGUCCGCUCCUCCCGGAGCUGGUAACAGGGCUGGGGCCCACUACUGGGAGACCAUCCCCUGAGCCGAAGCCGAGAGGCAGGCUUUUAUUUCGUUAUUGUUAUUUAAUGUUUAUUCUUGAGAGAGAGAGAGAGAGAGAGACAGCGAGAGACAGAGCGUGAGCAGGGAGCGGCCGAGAGAGAAGGAGACACAGAAUCCUGAGCAGGCUCAAGCCUCCAAAGUGUCAGCACGAAGCCUGACGCGGGGCUUAAACUUGGGAAUGGGGCCCUGAUCAGGACCUGAGCGCAAGUCGGAGGCUUAACUGACAGAGCCUCCCAGGCACCCCUUACAUAAAAUGUUGGGUGUUUUUGUUUCUGUUUUUUAGCAAAUAAGUACAUGCAAUUGCCGAAUUCCUGUGAUAAAACAGGACUCAGGUAGGAAUCCUGAUGUCUGAGAGGUCAGCGGUGAAGGGCCGCUUAUUCUGCAAACAUUACUUGGACUGGCACAGACAAGACAGAUCAGCGAGGGGCUCACUUUGGCUCAGUCAUGAUCUCGAGGUUCGUGAGUUCGAGCCCCGUCUCCGGCUUGCUGCUGUCAGUGCAGAGCCCUUCUCCUCUGCCCCAACCCCGCUCACGCUCUCUCAAAAGCAUUAAAAUAAAAUAAAAGAUAAGUAAAAUGUGAUUCCUGUUCUCAAAGGCUCAUGGCUCCCAAAUCAUCUCGUUCUUACGUUUGGUCAGGACUAUAAUCCUAUACCUAAAGCCGGCUGUCCACAUUGGGGUCAGUAUUUAAAAGUCCUUUUAGUUACAGAUGUAGCUAUAUCUAAUUCUUCUGGAGCUCAGAAGUGGGAUCUCAUGGAUUCAGGGUGGUAGCAAAAUGUAACCAUUUCUUCCUUCAGGAAGGAGACCUGUGUAAAAGGGUAAUGGACUUGGCCCUUCCUUCCCAGAAGAUUAUGACCCGUCUUCUGUUCAGUGAUGAUCAAGCCUUCCAAUGAGCAAGUUUAAAUGACAGCCACCAUUCUUGUCUUAGUGCGAUGAUUUGGGGGACCAUUACUGCAGUGGUUUCCAGUGGGGGCCUAUUUGGAGAAAGGAAAUGGCUGAUUUGAGAGAGGGUAUCUUCACUGGUGCCUAAGGAAGUCCUUGGGGGGAAAUGUGUCUACUGGAAUGAGAGAGAAGACACUGUAUUUACACCAUGUCAUUUGAUAUUCAUAAUACUCUUGUGAAGUUCCUUAUUUUUGCAAAUUAGGAAGCAGGCAUAAUGAGCCUGGGUGCCUGGUUCACGAUCACACAGCUACAACUAUCGGACCUACAAUUCAAGCCCAGAUUUGUGACUCGGACCGCAUGUCUGUUCCACGACAAAACUUGUUUGCAGUGAAAAGUCUCUCCAGGAAGGAGAAAAGGGAGGGACUAUCUAGAGGUCCAUUCAAACCAGAAGUAAUUCAUGUGCAAAAAGGGGCACAAUUGGGGGGGGGUCUUAAAUGUUUCCUUUUGUCAUUUGGGAAAAAUGUGAAAUAUGUGCAUUUCCAGUAGGUUGGCAAAGAUCAAGACGUUAAAAAUCCUUUCUGGAAGCGGCAGGGGGUGGGAGUGGCGGGGGGGGGGGGGGGGGGGGGGGGGGGGGGGGGGGGGG
rnacentral:lncRNA from 1 species